rnacentral:rRNA from 1 species
UACGGAGGGUGCAAGCGUUAUCCGGAUUCACUGGGUUUAAAGGGUGCGUAGGUGGAUUAGUAAGUCAGUGGUGAAAUCUCCGGGCUUAACCCGGAAACUGCCAUUGAUACUAUUAGUCUUGAAUACCGUGGAGGUCAGCGGAAUAUGUCAUGUAGCGGUGAAAUGCUUAGAUAUGACAUAGAACACCAAUUGCGAAGGCAGCUGGCUACACGAGCAUUGACACUCAGGCACGAAA